rnacentral:rRNA from 1 species
AACGAACGCUGGCGGCAUGCCUAACACAUGCAAGUCGAACGAGACCUUCGGGUCUAGUGGCGCACGGGUGCGUAACGCGUGGGAAUCUGCCCUUGGGUCCGGAAUAACUCAGAGAAAUUUGAGCUAAUACCGGAUGAUGACGUAAGUCCAAAGAUUUAUCGCCCAGGGAUGAGCCCGCGUAGGAUUAGCUAGUUGGUGAGGUAAAGGCUCACCAAGGCGACGAUCCUUAGCGGUCUGAGAGGAUGAUCAGCCACACUGGGACUGAGGCACGGCCCAGACUCCUACGGGAGGCAGCAGUGGGGAAUAUUGGACAAUGGGCGAAAGCCUGAUCCAGCAAUGCCGCGUGAGUGAUGAAGGCCUUAGGGUUGUAAAGCUCUUUUACCC